CAGCCGCCGCGGUAAUACGUAGGGUGCAAGCGUUAAUCGGAAUUACUGGGCGUAAAGCGUGCGCAGGCGGUUAUAUAAGACAGAUGUGAAAUCCCCGGGCUCAACCUGGGAACUGCAUUUGUGACUGUAUAGCUAGAGUACGGCAGAGGGGGAUGGAAUUCCGCGUGUAGCAGUGAAAUGCGUAGAUAUGCGGAGGAACACCGAUGGCGAAGGCAAUCCCCUGGGCCUGUACUGACGCUCAUGCACGAAAGCGUGGGGAGCAAACAGGAUUAGAUACCCCAGUAGUCCCUGUCUCUUAUAC
rnacentral:rRNA from 1 species